ensembl:lncRNA
AAGCCAAGCUCUGAUGCCUCCUCCCUUCCCAAGCGACAUUUAAGUAAAAUAAAUCAGCAAAAGUUGUAUAAAUGAAUGUCGCGGAAGCAAAACACCGCAUCUCCCACUCCGCUCCUGUGCCUCUGAGCGUGCAGUGAUGCUGAGCAGUUUGGCGUUACCAAACUCCCCUUUGGCUCCGGGUUUGCAAACGUUUUGCAGAGCCAAGCGUGGGUGAGACCGCGUGGAAAGGUGGCAGAGGUGGGGGCAGAGCUGCUCAGCGUCGGCUCCAUGGGCUCAGAGUGGGGACACAAACGGGGACCCCCCAGAAUUGGGCCAUCCCGCCCAACUCGGGGCUGAAAGAGACGCAAGAAAACAAGCUAAUCAAAUUACGCAUUCCUGAGAACCAUUUAUAAGCCAUGUGCAUUCUUUAAUCUUAAUUAGAAAUCUUAGCGGCUCCCGCCGACUCUGUAAUCAACGUUUAAACAUGGCUGACCCCCAUCGCGCUAACCUUGAGAGGCUGGAGCAGGUAUUUGAUGAGGGAGCUGGGGAGAGCCGGCCUCGCUGCGCUCCCUGCAGCCAGGGAAGCCUGGGGGUACAGAGCCUGAGAUCAGAGCGGAGCUACGGGUAAUGAUGAGUGUUAUGUCUGAGCUCUAAUUAAACAGUGCUCGCUGACAAUUCCAUGAGCCCCUAAUAAUCUCUCUCAUUUGGCUCAAUAACAGCCGUAUUUGCAAAUAAACAUUGUUUCCUCGCGCUCCCUGCAAGGGCAGGCGGUUGGGAGCCGCUGCUGGCAGCUCAGGGCUGGGUCCGGGGGAAACAACAGCAAUACUGGAGGUGUGGGGCAGGCAGCACAGUCUGCCUCAUGCACAUCUCAUAGAACCACAGAAUCACAGAACAGCUCAGGUUGGAGGGACCUCAAAGCCCACUCAGUGCCACCCUCGGCCAUGGGCAGGGCUGCCCCCCACCAGCUCAGGCUGCCCAGGGCCCCAUCCCACCUGGCCUUGAGUGCCUGCAGGGAUGGGGCACCCACAGCUCUCCGGGCAGCAGUGCCAGUGCCUCACCGCCCUCACAUCUAACCAACGCCUCCCCUCUUGUAGGAGAGAAGCCACCCCCUCAGCCUGUCUUCACAGCAGAGGUGCUGCAGCCCUCUGAGCAUCCUCGUGCCCUCCUCUGGACCCGCUCCAGCAGCUCCGCAUCCCUCCUGUCCUGGGGGCCCCAGGCCUGGGCACAGCACUGCAGGUGGGGCCUUCCAGGGGCAGAGCAGAGGGGCACAACCCCCUCCCUCUCCUCUCCCUGCUGCCACCCCUCCGUUGCUGCAGCUCUUUUGAUGAGCCCAUGACUCAGUUUGUAUUGUCUGUGAUCAGCAUUGCUUUCCAGGCAGGAAGAGAUAGCUGCCAGCCCACCUGCUUGGGUACAACACCCAACCCCACACCCUCCCGAGGACUGGGGGCUGCAAAUGCAUCCACACCGUCCCUCACUUGGCUGUAAAGAACUGUAUCAGCAGAGCAUAAGAGUGGUGAACGAGGCCAUGCAGGCGCAGUGACUCAACCACCCUCUCCAGGCCAUGCAGGGUGGUACCCCCUCUCAGCUCCCCCCAUGCCCUGCAUGUGCCCAGCGGUGAGGGCCACGUGGAGCUGCACACCCACCUGCACUCCCCUCCAGUGUUUGUUGCCUUAACAUUACCACGAUCAGAUUAUCUCACGUUAAUGUGGAUCUAAUGGAUAAAUCCAUAUGAGCUCCAGAGUUGUUCGGUAUUAAUUAAAUGUCGCCAUUAUAACACUUGGAUUGCUGCGCGUUUAUCGCUCGCUGCAAUUAGCGGAUGAAACCUGUGCUGCAGCUGUGCUCAUCUCCCCACACCUAGCACCCCGUGAUGCACAGCACCCACCCAGGGCUCAGCAGCUCCCCCAGCCACCCCACUGCCACCUGUGCACAGCCUCAGCCCCACAGUGGGGCCCCAAGCUGCACCCAGGAGCUUAUAGAAUCAUAGACUCAGGCUGGAAAAGACCAUCGAGUCCAACUAUUAUGGGUAGGAUUGUCAGUCCCUGCAGCCCCGGUCUCUGCAGGCAGCCGUCUCCUGCCCAGAACACAAUUUCCUGCUGCAAGGCUGGGAAGUAAAGGCAGCUUUCAAAGGCGAGAGGAUGCUGCCUCGCUCCCCCAAGGUGUUUAAGUCCUGUCUCGUUAUUCAGGUCCGCAGUCCCUCUGCCCACAUGUCAGACGAGAGAGAAGAAUAGAAAUCGCUCCUUAAAGUUCACAACCCAUCACUCCAGCUUUCAGAAAUACAAGCAAAAAUGGCAAAGCAGUAGGGGGAAAAUCCAUUUCUUUCGCGAUGAUCUUUCCUUCGAACAUGUCCUGUUGAUUUGCAGUCAGGGAAAGGCGAGUGUGUUUGUCUGAGAUAGGGGAAUCAGAUCUGUCUAAACUCUUCUUUACUCCAAACUAUCCCCUUCAAAAGAGCUCUUUAAGAAAAGAAAAAAAAAAAUAGAAAAGCCAAGAGAGAGAAAUCUCUUCUGUUCCAAGACCCUUCUGUUUUGAGUGUGCCCUCUGGGAAAUAGCAGCUGGGGGUUUUGCCCUUUUCCUGUACUGCUGGCAGAAUUUGGGCACUGUGACCACUGCCUGGAGCCUGCAGUGAGCAGGAGCAGGGCUAUUCCCAGCAGUGGCUCUUGGGGCUCAAUGCAACCACCCCCAAUGGCAACACGGGGCACCUGGUCUCCUUCCAUGACCGGGUGACCCACCUGGUGGGUAAGGGAAAGGCUGCUGAUGUAGCCUACAGCAAAGCUUUUGACACAGUUUCGGUUUCCCAUAGUAUUCUCCUGGAGAAGCUGCAGCUCACAGCUGGGAAAGGUGCACUCAUUGCUGGGCAUAUAACUGGCUGGAGGGCCGGGCCCAGAGAGUGGUGGUGAAUGGAGCUGCAUCCAGCUGGUGAUCGGUCACAGUGGUGUUCCCCAGGGGUUGGUAUUGGGGCCCAUCCUGUUUAAUACCUUUUUUGAUUAUGUGGAUGAGGGCAUUGAGUGCAUCCCCAGUAAGUCUGCAGACACCACGUUGGGGGAAGUGCCGAUCUGCCUGAGGGCAGGCAGGCCCUACAGAGGGACCUGGACAGGCUGAUGGCUGGGCUGAGGCCAAUGGGAUGGAGUGCAACAAGACCGAGUGCCGGGUCCUGCACUUGGGCCACAACAACCCCACGCAGCGCUGCAGGCUUGGGGCAGAGCGGCUGGAAGGCUGUGCGGAGGGAAAGGACCUGCGGGUGUCGGUCGGCGCUGGGCUGACCACGAACGCACCGCCAGCCCCGCACCCCCCGCACCCGCUCAGCCCCCCCCCAGCGCGG